UACAGAGGUCUCAAGCGUUGUUCGGAUUCAUUGGGCGUAAAGGGUGCGUAGGCGGCGCGGUAAGUCGGGUGUGAAAUCUCGGAGCUUAACUCCGAAACUGCAUUCGAUACUGCCGUGCUUGAGGACUGGAGAGGAGACUGGAAUUUACGGUGUAGCGGUGAAAUGCGUAGAUAUCGUAAGGAAGACCAGUGGCGAAGGCGGGUCUCUGGACAGUUCCUGACGCUGAAGGCAACGAAGGUCAGGGGAGCAAACGGG
rnacentral:rRNA from 1 species